rnacentral:lncRNA from 13 species
GGUAUGGAAGCUCCGUGUCCUUUCCUCUAUAACUCACCUGACUUGUCUCUUUAUCUCUAUCCUCUGUAUCUCUAUCCUUUUAAAUAAACCAGUAAACCUAAGUAAAUGUUUCUCUGAGUUCUUUGAGUCUCUGCAGCAAAUUAAUUGAGCCCAAAGAGAAGUUGGGGGCACCCCACCUUGAACCUGGUUGGUCAGAAGUUCCAGAGGCCUGGACUUUCAACUGAUGUCUAAAGAGAGGGCAGCUUUGGGGACUGAUAUGAGACCAUCUCCAUGUAGAGAUGAUAAGCGCAAUGAAGGAACCAAUGCUGAGAAUGUUAUGGUGUACAUAUAACAACCAUUUAACACAUGUGAAGCAUAUGCAGCACAGCCUACAGUAGACUUCCAGGGAUUACUGAGUUUUAAAAGACAAGGAAUCAAGCAGGAGAAUUACAGGAGGGUUGCAUUUGCCAAUUCUUCAACCACCUAUUGAUAUACCAAAGGACCACAUGCUUGUAAAUUAGUCCAGCAAGUAUCUUCAUCUGGAUAUUUUUGAAGGAAACAUAUUUUAAGAAAACACAUGCCUUCUGGUGCUCCAUGCUUGAUAUAAUUAGUCACAGCUUUGUCACCAUUCCCUGGAGGCUGAAGAAGGACCUUAAUUACAGAAGCAGUGCACUCAGCCACUGCCUGCUGUAUUCUGAUGUCACCACCUAUGAGCUUCAAAGAGAGGUCAGGCUGAUCCUAGGAUGUCAUGUGGCUCAAAUCCAGUAUUUUAAUUUAGAGACUCAAGUGGAAGGAUGGCCAACAUUUCAAUGGGUGGUGGAGAGCUGCCAGAUUUAA